rnacentral:lncRNA from 1 species
AUCCCUUAAAAGGGUACGUAGGCAAUGAGUUAAAACUCCUCCAAGCCAAGUAAAAUAAAAUCUCAAUCAUCUUCUCUCCCCCAUUCUUCACUCAAAUAAAACUCCUUUUUUAAUAAGUAGGCAAUAAAAAUAAAGUGUAAGAAUAAACUUAGGAGAACGGUUCUUAUGGAAUACCAUAAUCGUUCCGGGUGCCUAACACCUUCCCGUAGCGAAAACGACCCCCGAACUUAGACUCUAAGGGUUUUUCUCAAUUUUGCC